GCUCUCCUUACUGACUUAUAGCCAGCUAAAAAAUUCAUGUCGAAGUAGAAAGCGCAGCUGCGCUUCAUGUGCAAACGAUUCUUCCGGUCAGAAGUCACAGCUAAUUUUAAAAAUGAUUUUAUAAACUUAUUUGGAGAAAUAUAAAUAGAACAUUAAACUGUCCAACAGCAAAAGGAACAAAAUAAAAUCCGUGGGUUAGUCAGACCUGUUAGUGAUUAAAGGUUUUGUGAUUAUGUUGACUUGAACAUGUUAGCUUACCCAGGUUAGCCCUGACCCCUGACCUCCCAGACCAGCCUGACUCCUCCUGUGAAGCAGAUGAGUCAAAGUCAGCAGCAGCCAUGACCUCUAACCCCGCAGACCAGCCUGACUCCUCCCUGUGAAGCAGAAAACAACAAGCUGCUGCUUCACUUUGGACCAAUCAGAGCAGGAGGCGGAGCCAAAACAACCUGCAGGUGACUCGGUACCUGAGUCCCCCGACCGACAGGUGUCCGUAGGAGCUGCUGGCGGCUGAGCUGGACCGGGAGUUGUUGAUGUACG